CACAGUCAAGAGUUAUAGCUAAGCAUGUCUGAUACAGCACACUGGCACUGCACAAAAUCAAUGAAUCGAGCCUGAGUACAGUAUCAAUACAGUCUGAAGGUAUCAAAAACACUAAAAUACACCAAAGAAGUACAAGAUCAACUUAAGAGUUAUGAUUUUAGUAAACGUGAAAGAAUAUUCCAAGGAAUCAGUUCCAUUUACGAGAAACUGAGGAACUCUGAAAGCUACUGGAGACAAACAGAAAUUGAGAUUGAGAAUGAGAAGACGAAAGUUGAAAGUGAAAUUAAUGAAAUGUGUCAAAGUGUCGUCCCAUCAAGCAAGACUCCAACAAUUGAAAAUGCUCAGGAAACUGUUGAGGAGCUGACAGAGAGUCUAAGAGAAGAGAAACAAUUAUUAAAGACUUUAAUGCAAAAGACUAAAGACAGAGAGUGUAUCAAAUAUGAGUUUAAACCCUUGUAAAAAAUCCCAGCAAGAUCUUAUAAGGUUUUUCAUGAUUUCACAUGAUUAUACAAGAAAACAUAAGAUAGUAAUCUUGUAAAAUCUUAACACAGAAAUUCUUGCAAAUUCUUAUUUAAGAUUUGAUAAGAUUUGAACAGUUUUGUCAGAUCUUGUGAGAUCUAUCAUAACUAUAAUUCUUGUAAGAAUUUUAAAGAUCUUAUGAAUAAAGGAAUAUGUCAGAAAAUGUAAGAUCAUGCCUCACUUAAAUCUUGUAAUAUCACACCUUUUAAGAACUAAGAUGAUCUUGUUAAAUUGAAAUCUAAUAAGAUCUUACAAAAUCUAGUAAGUUUAUGAUCUUGAAGAAUCAUCCAUGA